rnacentral:rRNA from 1 species
UCCUUAGAUGUUCUGGGCCGCACGCGCGCUACACUGACGAAUGCAACGAGCUUAUAACCUUGGCCGAAAGGUCUGGGUAAUCUCCAAAUUUCGUCGUGAUGGGGAUAGAUUAUUGCAAUUAUUAAUCUUCAACGAGGAAUGCCUAGUAAGCGCAAGUCAUCAGCUUGCGUUGAUUACGUCCCUGCCCUUUGUACACACCGCCCGUCGCUCCUACCGAUUGAAUGGUCCGGUGAAGCGCUCGGACCGCGGCCUCUUGACGGUUCGCUGUCGAUUGGCUGUGGGAAGUUCGUUAAACCUUAUCAUUUAGAGGAAGGAGAAGUCGUAACA